ensembl:lncRNA
CUAACAUUUCAUGUAAUAAAUGUAAGAGGUCGGUCUCACAUAGCAGCAUUGUGCAUUUACAGUAAAAAUGGAUAUGGUCUCUAUGGAUGCUACUAAGUUUCUUAGAUAAACACAGUUUAGUUUGCAUUUUGUAUCUUACUGUCUAAUUUUGCUUCGCCCUUUUCCUCUUUAUUCUCUUUAACAUCUCUUUAAUAUAUGUUGUUUCCUGUAUUUCUUUAAUUGAGAAAAAGACUGUAUAAAGUGAUGUACUCAGGUGUCUCUCUUAAUAACUGGCUGGUCUGCAGGAGUCUGUCACAGUGUCACACAAGUACAUAAAUGAAACCAUCACAUGAAUAAAUCUAGAAGUUCCAUGCAGACAGUCAUCAUCAUUAUUACUGAAAACUGUAACUUGAAAGUGUUUUAUUUCUCUGACAGAUGAACAAAGGACCUCUGUAUGUUCAUUGUAACUCACAUUUCACUGAUAACACCGUUAUCUUCUCUUGUUCUUCAAUAUUUGAAUGUUCAGAUAGGCUUGUGGGUCCGCUUACUGGGGGUUGGUCUAAUUUCUCCCUUUAAAAAUCUUCCUUCUGACUGUUCGUUGCACUGACGCCUACAACCAGAACACACUGGGAGAACAACGGAGGACAGCAACAGUGUCCAUCUGACAUCAGUCACUACAGGUCUCUUCUUCCUUUGGGCAGCAGCUGUGAAGAUGGCUGGUCCUUACUGGGUUUCUGUAGCGGUCGUUGUUUUGAUGACCGUUAGAAACGGUGCGACUGUUAUUGACCCAAACCAGCUCGCACCAAUUGUACAAGAAAUUCUGAACAGGUACACACCAAGCUACAUUGGUGCAGACGGCAACAGAAAGUUCCCCAUGUUCAGUGUGGCUGUGAGCGUCCCACUCAAUAAAGACAAGUUUGAUAUGAGCAAAGUCACUGAUGAUGGUGAAGCUGUGAGGACGAAGAUUCUAAACUGUGAUGUAUACAUAGGUAACAGAGUGGUGGCAGCCACAGUGCUGAGAUGGCGCAAUGUUCUCUAUCAGUGUCCUAAUGAACGUGUACAGUGGCGUGAUGUCCCAAAAAAAUGUAAUAGAAAGGAGAUAAAUACAUGGGCUGAUAUUGACAAAUUUUGUGAUGUACAAUCUAUUGAAAGAAUUCUGUUUGCUCAGGCUGCUCAUGCUGAGUCCCGAACCCUGGACUAUUUCAAAGAUAAGGACAAAAUUAGGAAAAACUCCAAAGAUGAUCUGAUGGUUUUCUACGUCCGUGCCUCCCCAUGUGGUGAAACAUGUACCAACCCAAACAACGAUCGGAAUAUUCUCAGUAAAUUACAAGCAAUAACGAACUGGACGAAUUAUGUUGUUGUGUUUUCAGAUGUAUUUAGACCUGAUGAUAAGAAUAAUAAUCAGGAUCGUGUGAAUGAACUGCGUGGAUCACUUGAGAGGCUUGGGGACGCAAUCGCAGAUCAAGGGCCAAAGGUCAAAGAUAAAAGGUCAAAUGGUCUCCAGCAUAUAUUCCGAUGCUACAGGCAGCCAGAAAUGGAUGAAAUGAAGUGUCUUAUCUGCAAUACCAAUGGUGCUGUAGCACAUAAAUGUAUUUUAGGUGGUUAGCAACCAUGGGGAGAAAGAGAAUAAGACCAAGAGGAAGAGUAACAUGCAUCCAUGUUUAACUUUAAAUGUGUGUGUUCGUCACAGCAAGAUUAACAUGUGCUCCUGAAAUCACAGCUGCCAUCGUGCACUCUGGUCAUUCUAGUCCACGAUACUGUCUGCGCCUCUGAUUGUGUCUGUGAACUGAAACACAAACAGUGUGUGUGGAGCGAGUGUAAUCCAUUUAUAGCCUCUGAUACUGUUUCUGAUUAAAGCUUAAUAAACUGCAUUAAAACAUGUCACAGCUUGGAUCUGGUCUGUCCUUCUUUUAAAGCUCGAUGUUGUAUUUUCUGUUUCUAUGAUUGAAUAUGAAGUUUGAGGUAAAGAUGCUGCAGGUUUUCUCUUCACGGGUCAGUCCACAGAAACGCUGGACUCGCUGGAUAACCUUCUCCAGCCAGUGGUGUGGAGAUCCAGCUUUUUAGAUCCAAUUACAAUCCAAUCACUCAAAUAGAUCCUCUGGAAACAGUAAUUAUUGAAACAGAAUAAACAGAAUCACAUGAACACUGAAACAUUACAACACAGAGAACAGCAAGCCAACACACAGCAAAGCAAGCUGAGCAAAGCCCGGGUGUAGAGCAACACAGACAGAAAAGAGCCCCGAUGUCACCUCUGACCCUCCAUGACUCCUCCUGCAGCUGAUGGGUAACUUUCCCCUCCUUGUCAUCCAGCCAAAAACAACACAUGCAGGUCAGGGGUCGGACCAGGCGCCAUCUUCAGGUGGGUCACCUUUGCUUUGUCACAGUCGACCAUAACAUGAUUAAAGUUACACAUUGGUCCUAAUUAUUAAAUCUCACUGCAAGCAGUGCAAAUCAACAGGUGGCAUAAAGUUAUGAUAUACAUGUGAAUAAUACUUGACCAAAGUUUAUGGGUCAUGUCACAAACCAUUUGGACAUGUGGGUUAAUGUGGGAGCUUAACUUCUAAACUUGCUGAAUCCACAUUAAAGAGCCUCAUGUAGUGGGUUUUUUUCAUUGUCCCCAUU